AGCAUCACAUUACAUUAUCAUAUUAUUAAGCAUUUUUUUAUUUCUCUGUUCCAGGCACUGCGCUAAGCAUUGGGAAUACAGAGACACAAGCCCGUCCAUGAUCUCCAGACUUGAGCUCACAUUCAAAUUUGGGGUUUUGCUUUUUGGGUAGAAGUACAGGACUUCCCCCAUCCAUGCAGGGUCCUAUGGGAUCUUCUCAUCCAACAUCCUUCUGCCAGACUUUGGGAUCCACAGAGGUGAGUACACCACCCACAUCUACACAUCACUCUCCUUUCUAGUCCAAGGAAGAGUUCUUGAGGAUUCCUGCUCUUGGGGCUUGCCAAGGCCAGCCUUGCUCCUAGGCUCCAAACCUGAGUGCAAUUUAAAAGUUAAUUUCAAU
rnacentral:lncRNA from 1 species